CCGCCGGCCGGGAGACGCUGUCGGUGCUGCAGAGGAUGUGAGCCGGUGCUGGAAGGAGGUGAUGAUCCAUAGAGGUCCGUGUUUCCACCUGACACAGCGACCACCUCCUCCACCUCCUCCUCUCCACUGAAAUGGAGCCAAACUAUCCCGGAUUCAAAGGCCACCAUCUUGUGCAUUUGUCUACAGGUAGAAAUCGGGGUGGAGUCGCGGGAUUGAGUUCCCGCCCAUAUACCCGCUUGACCAAUCAUGAGUCAGUCUCAGGGGUCAAUCGUGACCUUUUCACCUUGAUUUGUUGGCAUCAAAUGACAGAUUAAACUAAACUUCCCUGGGACAUUAACACAUCGGCAUCAUGAGAACAACCUAAAAUGACUGAGAACAACUUAUUAUCAGACAUAACUCUUAACUGUGGUUCAUGUCCCAUUUGCUUACAUGGAGGAGGCCGGAAUUAUGACCCACACUCAGUCAGCCAGUGUUCGACAAGGCCGCUGGAACUGAGUGCGCGGCAGCACCCCCUACUGGUGAGAAACAGCAUCUCCAACCAACAUGAAGCGGAUCAACUGCUCAAGAGGUGAAUCACUUGGACGAAUACGUUGUGAUGUUACUCAACACAUCAGGGGCAGCAUCAGGAAGAAGCUGAGGACCCUCCACCGAGUCCUCCUCUUAACCUGAGUAAGAGGAGCUUCAGUGGGAACUCGGAGAUAUGAAGACGAUGAUGAAAGUAAAGGAGAAAGAAGACAUAUCCAGCUGCAGGAGAAGCAGAGACCUGAAAAUGAGUGGAAGUUGAUAUUUGAAGCUCUGUGAGGAGAAGCUGAGGAGCAGCAUCCUGGAUCAGGAGGCCAUCUUCCAGCAGAGGGAGGAUCUGAUGAACCAGAGAAAGAUGGAGGAAGAAGUAAAACUCCGGAUCCUGAAGAACAUUGUGCUUCUGGUACACUAAUUGUACGUAUGUUGUCUCUGUCUUGUUCAGGAACUCGCCUUGAAGACCGAUGAGCACAAGCUGGACGUCAAAAGGAGGACAAUUAGAAGAGAGAGAGGAAGCGAGAAAAAUGAAGAGCAGCUGGAGAGAGAGAAGGAAAGAACUGAGGGGAAAGAAAGGAGGGAGAGGAUGAAGAUGUUCCUCAGUUCCACGACUGCUUUGUCUCUGUUGUUAAAUCGAACACUAGGAACACGAGGUGGUGUUAUAACACACGUUCAACCUUUAAAUAUAGAUUAUUUAUUUCUGAAUAAAGGUGAUAUUGAAAGCAGCAUUGAGAUCUUUCAUUCAUAAUUAAGUUGACAGUUUAAAACCAUGUUUAAAACACACACAUGUGCAGUGUCACUUUAAGACGGCAGCUUCCAGGCU